rnacentral:lncRNA from 1 species
GUGUAUCGAAAUCUAUCUACAUGCAGAAUGAAAUGGACUGCUUAUCAGAUUGUGCUGGUCUGUAGUUUCCCGUAAAACAUUCUUAAGCAGUGAGAAAUGGUGCAGGAAGACUAGCAUCCUUUGCUGUGAGCCAAGGUUUCUUUGCAUUAUUUUGGUCAUGAUAGAGAACCAUAUAGCUUUGAUAUUUGUUCCGAAUGCAAGCGCUCACCUAAACUUAAGCACCACCAAGAUGUGGGA